rnacentral:tRNA from 1 species
GCCCGGUUAGCUCAGUCGGUAGAGCAUUAGACUUUUAAUCUGAGGGUCAAGGGUUCGAGUCCCUUAUCGGGCU